UAGAACUGCCAUCCGAGGUCGUAUGACCAAACCAAAACCACCAUUAAAUUCCUCUCUUCUUCCUCUUCAAAAAUCACCCAUUCAUUUUCUAGAUCUGUGAAAUUUCAAAAACCCCAAUCAUCACCUUCUCUCUUGUUUUCCGGCCACUGCGAGCUACAAUCGGAAAAACUAAAUUCAUCAUCUUCUUCCUCUUGAAAUCCUCAACAAAACUCGUAAAUUUAUUUUGCGACCUAAGUAGCUUAGUUUAUGACCACCGCACCGGAGUGCGCGACCACUGCACCGGAAAAGUGAUUCACAAUUAUUUACUUCUCUUCUCUUCUUCUUGGUCUCAUCUCUUCAACUAAUCUGGAAAGUCGGUUAUUUGUUUCUGCUUGUGUGCUCAUCUAGGUGCUUUGGAUAUUGGUGUUUGGAUCCAUCGAUGUUUGAAUCGAAUAAAGCUAGUAACGUUGACUGUUCGUUUGAGGACUAGUUUUACGCUAAAUGUGGGAAUUUGAAAUUGGCGAAAAGAUUAUUCGAUUCGAUUCUGAGUGCAUGUUGUAAUCAUGGAGAAAUCAAUUAGCUGAACUUGCUGCUGAAAAAGUGUUGCAGUUAGAUAAUCACAUUCACAGUGGAGUUUAUGUUUUGUUUUCUAAUUUGUAUGCAGUAUCUGGGAAACAUAGUGAUGCUAGUUUUAUUGCUUGUUGGGUCUGUUAGUGCCAAUGUGUUGCUAUGAAAUAAAAAGAUGUGAAUGAGAAUGGUGCCAAUGUUGUUGGAUCUGAAUUGAUAAUGGUGGAAGAAUUAAAAAGAUGUGAAUGAUUUUAGAUUUUAGAUUUUCUGGGUUUUUAUUUUUUAUUUUUUUAUGAAUGUUCUUGAAGAUUGUAUGAAGAUGUUGGGGGAAGAAGAUGAAGAAAUGGAAAAAUGAUUAGGUAUCGUUUCUUUUUUUUUUCUUU
rnacentral:lncRNA from 1 species